UUAAGUGACUAAGCGUACAUGGUGGAUGCCUUGGCAGUCAGAGGCGAUGAAGGACGUACUAACCUGCGAUAAGCUGUGAGGAGUCGGUAAGAGACGCUAUUACUCACAGAUUUCCGAAUGGGGAAACCCACCCGAGAUAACUCGGGUAUCUGUUACUGAAUACAUAGGUAACAGAGGCGAACCGGGAGAACUGAAACAUCUAAGUACCCCGAGGAAAAGAAAUCAACCGAGAUUCCCUCAGUAGCGGCGAGCGAACGGGGAUUAGCCCUUAAGCAUCUUGGAAGUUAGUGGAACGGUCCUGGAAAGGCCGGCGAUACAGGGUGAUAGCCCCGUACACGAAAACAACCUUGAUGUGAAAUCGAGUAGGGCGGGACACGUGACAUCCUGUCUGAAUAUGGGGGGACCAUCCUCCAAGGCUAAAUACUCCUGACUGACCGAUAGUGAACCAGUACCGUGAGGGAAAGGCGAAAAGAACCCCUGUGAGGGGAGUGAAAUAGAACCUGAAACCGUGUACGUACAAGCAGUGGGAGCCCUUCGGGGUGACUGCGUACCUUUUGUAUAAUGGGUCAGCGACUUACAUUUUGUAGCGAGGUUAACCGUAUAGGGGAGCCGUAGGGAAACCGAGUCUUAACUGGGCGUCUAGUUGCAAGGUGUAGACCCGAAACCGGGUGAUCUAGCCAUGGGCAGGUUGAAGGUUGAGUAACAUCAACUGGAGGACCGAACCCACUAACGUUGCAAAGUUAGGGGAUGACCUGUGGCUGGGGGUGAAAGGCCAAUCAAACUCGGAGAUAGCUGGUUCUCCCCGAAAGCUAUUUAGGUAGCGCCUCGGACGAAUACUACUGGGGGUAGAGCACUGUUUGGGCUAGGGGGUCAUCCCGACUUACCAACCCCAUGCAAACUCCGAAUACCAGUAAGUAAUAUCCGGGAGACACACGGCGGGUGCUAACGUCCGUCGUGAAGAGGGAAACAACCCAGACCGCCGGCUAAGGUCCCAAAGUUCUGGUUAAGUGGGAAACGAUGUGGGAAGGCUCAGACAGCUAGGAUGUUGGCUUAGAAGCAGCCAUCAUUUAAAGAAAGCGUAAUAGCUCACUAGUCGAGUCGGCCUGCGCGGAAGAUGUAACGGGGCUCAAACCAGGCACCGAAGCCGCGGAUUCACACUUAUGUGUGAGUGGUAGGGGAGCGUUCUGUAAGUCUGCGAAGGUGUAUCGAGAGGUAUGCUGGAGAUAUCAGAAGUGCGAAUGCUGACGUAAGUAACGAUAAAGGGGGUGAAAAGCCUCCUCGCCGGAAGACCAAGGGUUCCUGUCCAACGUUAAUCGGGGCAGGGUGAGUCGACCCCUAAGGCGAGGCCGAAAGGCGUAGUCGAUGGGAAGCAGGUUAAUAUUCCUGCACGACUUGUAAUUGCGAUGGGGGGACGGAGAAGGCUAGGUGGGCCAGGCGACGGUUGUCCUGGUGAAAGUGCGUAGGUGGUGUUUCUAGGCAAAUCCGGAGACACAACACUGAGACACGAGACGAACACACUACGGUGUGGAAGCCAUUGAUGCCCUGCUUCCAGGAAAAGCCUCUAAGCUUCAGAUUACAAGUCAUCGUACCCCAAACCGACACAGGUGGUCGGGUAGAGAAUACCAAGGCGCUUGAGAGAACUCGGGUGAAGGAACUAGGCAAAAUAGAACCGUAACUUCGGGAGAAGGUUCGCUCUUGACAGUGAAGUCCCUUGCGGAUGGAGCAGUUGGGAGUCGCAGUGACCAGAUGGCUGGGACUGUUUAUCAAAAACACAGCACUCUGCAAACACGAAAGUGGACGUAUAGGGUGUGACACCUGCCCGGUGCCGGAAGGUUAAUUGAUGGGGUUAGCGCAAGCGAAGCUCUUGAUCGAAGCCCCGGUAAACGGCGGCCGUAACUAUAACGGUCCUAAGGUAGCGAAAUUCCUUGUCGGGUAAGUUCCGACCUGCACGAAUGGUGUAACCAUGGCCAUGCUGUCUCCACCCGAGACUCAGUGAAAUCGAAUUCGCCGUGAAGAUGCGGUGUACCCGCGGCUAGACGGAAAGACCCCGUGAACCUUUACUACAGCUUGGCACUGAACAUUGAACCUACAUGUGUAGGAUAGGUGGGAGGCUUUGAAGGCGUGACGCCAGUUGCGCUGGAGCCGUCCUUGAAAUACCACCCUUGUAUGUUUGAUGUUCUAACGCAGGGCCCUGAAUCGGGCUCGCGGACAGUGCCUGGUGGGUAGUUUGACUGGGGCGGUCUCCUCCCAAAGAGUAACGGAGGAGCACGAAGGUUGGCUAAUCCUGGUCGGACAUCAGGAGGUUAGUGCAAUGGCAUAAGCCAGCUUAACUGCGAGACGGACAGGUCGAGCAGGUACGAAAGUAGGUCAUAGUGAUCCGGUGGUUCUGAAUGGAAGGGCCAUCGCUCAACGGAUAAAAGGUACUCCGGGGAUAACAGGCUGAUACCGCCCAAGAGUUCAUAUCGACGGCGGUGUUUGGCACCUCGAUGUCGGCUCAUCACAUCCUGGGGCUGAAGUCGGUCCCAAGGGUAUGGCUGUUCGCCAUUUAAAGUGGUACGCGAGCUGGGUUCAGAACGUCGUGAGACAGUUCGGUCCCUAUCUGCCGUGGGCGUUGGAUGAUUGAAGGGAGUUGCUCCUAGUACGAGAGGACCGGAGUGAACGAACCUCUGGUGUUCGGGUUGUCACGCCAGUGGCACUGCCCGGUAGCUAAGUUCGGAAUCGAUAACCGCUGAAAGCAUCUAAGCGGGAAGCGAGCCCUGAGAUGAGUCAUCCCUGACCCCUUGAGGGUCCUAAAGGGCCGUUGGAGACCACAACGUUGAUAGGCGGGGUGUGUAAGUGCAGCGAUGCAUUGAGCUAACCCGUACUAAUUACCCGUGAGGCUUAACCAU
rnacentral:rRNA from 1 species